AGAGUUUGAUCCUGGCUCAGGAUGAACGCUGGCGGUAUGCUUAACACAUGCAAGUCGAACGGGUUCUUCGGAACAAGUGGCGGACGGGUGAGUAACGCGUGAGAAUCUGGCUUCAGGGUGGGGAUAACAGGGCGAAAGUGCUGCUAAUACCCGAUGUGCCGAGAGGUGAAAGAUUUAUCACCUGAAGAUGAGCUCGCGUCUGAUUAGCUAGUUGGUGAGGUAAGAGCUUACCAAGGCGACGAUCAGUAGCUGGUCUGAGAGGAUGACCAGCCACACUGGGACUGAGACACGGCCCAGACUCCUACGGGAGGCAGCAGUGGGGAAUUUUCCGCAAUGGGCGCAAGCCUGACGGAGCAAUACCGCGUGAGGGAGGAAGGCCUUUGGGUUGUAAACCUCUUUUCUCAGGGAAGAUGAUGACGGUACCUGAGGAAUCAGCCUCGGCUAACUCCGUGCCAGCCGCCGCGGUAAUAC
rnacentral:rRNA from 1 species